UUUUUUUUUUUUGGUGGUUGGUGUAGGAUUAUAGCAAACUGUCUUGGAGUUUGAGGUCUAAUUUUUCGGGGAUUGCUUCGAGUAGUAGUGGUAUUACUAAUAGCAGUGGUGAUGUUAUUAAAGCUGCUGGAAAUGUGCAAAUGCAAAGGGAAAGUGCUAUUCUGGGUUCUGAUCAGAGUGAAGAUAAGUUGGUGGAAAAUGUUGAUUCUUCCAAGGGCAGAGUGAUGCUUAUCGAUGGCACGUCAGUUAUUUAUAGAGCGUAUUAUCGGCUUCUUGGUAUGUGAUGUCUCUUUGUUGAUUGAAGGUGUUACACUUGAUUGUAUUUUUAACAUUUAUAUAUUGGAAUUUUCACUGCAAUGUAUUUAAAAGUUGACUUCUUGGGUGCAAGAAUAUUGUAUGAGGCUUAGCUGUUUGUUUGUUUCCUUAGCUUAGAGAUGGUAGCAAAUUUGACUUCUGAAACUAUAGCUGUAAUCUUGGUAAAGGAAACUUGGACGGUUGUGCUGGCUAACAUUUUGUAUUGGGGAUGGAGUUCUUCUACAACUUUCAAAUGUGUCUUGAUAAUAUGGAAGCUUUCAAAGAGUUUUUGAGCUGUAUGUUGCUCUUCAUUGUGGGUUCUGUUGGUUUUAGUUGCUUGUAAUGUGACUGAGGGUACAUAUUAAAAUAUGUUGACCUAUAAAUAUGCAACCAGCUAAUCCCAAUGUUGGUCAACCUAUUCCUGUAGUUAGGAAAAUAUUUUAGUGCUUUGAGCUAAAAGCUGUCAUUUAUGGUGUGCAGUUGAGUUAUGUUUUGAGAGUGUAUUUGAGGUCAUCAAAAUUUAGUCUAAACAUGGUUGAAUUUCAUUCCUCCAAUUUGACUCCUUUUUAGUUAGUAUCUGAAUUAGAUUACUGUCUACUAAUCUCAAAAGUCAAUUUUCUGCUUCUGAAUAGCUAAACUACAUCAUGGUCAUCUUUCCCAUGCUGAUGGUAAUGGAGAUUGGGUCUUGACUAUUUUUACGGCUCUGUCUCUUGUAAGUUAAAUUUAGUUUGGUAUCUGCUGAAUUUUCUACUUUUUCAUAUCAGUCUUAUUGUAUUAAGUUAUGUGGGACAAAAUGGAUUUAAAACAGCAUCCUUUUCCUGAGUGCUAUUUGAUUCUUUAGCUUCUAUGAGAUGCAAAACCAAGAAAGAGAUUCAUGAUGAAAUUAAACAAUGAAGUAUUAAGAAAUUAGGUUUUUCCAUAUUUUGUGCCUUUUACAGUUCUAUUGAUUACUGAUUAGACUUUUCUUGCAGAUAAUUGAUGUACUGGAGUUCGUUCCUUCACAUGUAGCGGUAUAUGUCUUUGUCCUCUGUAUUCUUGCUUGUCAUGAGAUUAUUUUUAUCUGUAUAUAUGAUAAAUCAUCUGGCAUCUUCAUUUUCCUUUUUUUAAAUCCUAAAAUUUAGAGCUCAAGAAUUUGUAAAUCAUUUUUAGCUCACCAAUUGCACAAGCUUAAGGAACUUCCCUGUUUUCAUAAGGACCACCAAAAGUAAUCUUGUAAGCAGUUGUCUAUCAUUGUACUACUCCAGUAGAUUGGCAGGGUUGGAUCACAGUGUUUUUAAGUCAGGUUAUAUGGACUUUUCAGAUGGAACACAAAUUUAUGCCGUCGUAGUUUAAAGGAGAAUGGAAUAUGCCAUCAUUUUUGUAUACUGGAGAAUAAUUAGCUUUUGUGAUAUAAACUUUGAAGUAUGUGAUUCAAAAAUUAACUAGCAAUUGCUGAACCUUUUGAGAAAGAGUAAUCACAAAAUUAUGUCAAUGGGAUACUUUGAUGUUUGAGGUGUAUAUCAUUACGUCUAGGCCAUAGUGUAUAUAAUUAUGUCUAGGCCAUAGUGGAUGCAGGAGCACUUUGAUUGUUUUGACAAAAGUUUGUGGCUUGCCCAUAAACUAUUGAUUUGGCGUUUUUCUGCACUUAUAUUAAUCUAGCAUACUUAUCUUGUUAAUAAACUAUGUCACACAUUGGUUUCCCGGGGGUUCGAGGACCAGUUGGAUUCCUUUUACUUCACAUAUCUCAUGGAUAUAGCUUAUAGGUUGUAAAUAUUUCUGAAGUGAAUUAAAAAAUUAUUUUCCCUGAACUCUGCUUAAACCUGAAGCAAUCAUCCAAGGAAGUACCAUUUAUGCAAAGUAGGGCAUACUCUAUUGAAGAAUCUCCAGUGCAGUAUUCUAUUUUCAUGAGGAGCUAUCUACUAUUUGGCUUGGCCCAAAUCAUCUCUUGUGCAAAAUGUGCCAUGCUUCUUUGAAAAUUUGCAAUUUUUUUUUUUUAUAUUGUUUUCUCAAUGGAGUCAAUGUGUUUGUUGGAUGUUAUCAGAGAAAAUGACGACCUUUCUAUGUGGCUAUCACAGUGAGGUAUAAUCAACAUUGUGUCUGAAGCAUUUUUUAGAGUUUGUGGUUGAAGUUUCCUUUGAUUACACUAUGGGAGUGUAAAUCCAAUUGGAAGUUAUUAUGAACUAAUCUGGGAUAGCUUUUCACAAUUCAAUGUUAUGUUUAAGGACAAAUUGCACCCCAAAUAGAGAGGAGACCAAUUUUUUGUGCCUGACUUGGGCUAUUGUCAACUUUAUGUGUCCUGCCAUUGUUGAGGUCUUAUUGUUUGUUUUAUCUGUUUUAUAUAAAUGCUAGGAUGUUCAUGUGCAAUGCUCUAAAUUCACUUGCUUUGUCUUCUGCAGGUGGUUUUCGACCAUGAUGGUGAGGUGCAUUCUAUUGCUGCAAUUCGAUCUGUUGGUUCUUUUCACCAACUCUAUCUCUUGCUUAUAUAAUUGUGGCUCUGCAUAUUAUGUUCACAAACCACCACCCACCACCCAGCUCCCUCCCCUUGUCCAGCUCAACCAGCAGCAAAGAGUGAAACAAAGCUUGAAAAUUUGAGCAUGAAUUUUUUGCUUGUUGACUAAUUUUCUCAUGCUAGCUAUCUUGUGCUUAAAUGAACAUCAAUGAAAGCAAUUACGCUGUGCGUUGUCAAGUUUUAUGAUGUUACAAUAGAUAUUAGACCAUUUGGGUCCAUCGUAUGAGAGUGCUGCAACAAAUGCUGAAGUCUUAUUUACUUAUUUAUUGUUUCAUGUUGUUGACAUCAGUGAUGCAGUUUAUUGGAUGUGGAAUCUUUACAGUAAAGAAAUAGGAACCUUUUGUAGAAUUUUGUUUGGAUCUUUUGUUUCUCAAAUUCGAAAUCUAGUCCAGUUAUUUUGGGAUGUUCUGGAGAGCUUUUUCUACCUUAUAGAUCCAUGCUUCUUCUGCUUCUCUAUAGGUGACUUUGGUAAUUCUUAAAUCAUUUAGUGAAACUUCUAUGCUCUUGAAAUUCUUGGCGGUUGCUGGUUGCAAGGGAAUGUCAAUAGAAAUUAUCUUCUUUUCUUUUGAAUUUAAGUUGAUAGAGAAGCAAUAAGUUUGUGUCUGUGGAGAGAGAGAGAGAGAGAUCUAUUGAUUAAUUUUCUUCAUCUUAGAUUUCUCUCAAUAAUUUAAUCAUAGAGCAUCCGAAAGAUUGCAAGUUUCUCCAGUUUAUAAUCCUGUCCCUCCUGUAUUUAUUUUGAUUGGAUUGGAAUUUGUUGAUCUAACUAAAGUGAUGAUCAAUCUAGAUAGAUGCUUCAGUAAUGUCAAAAAAUCUGAUUUCCCAGAAUGCUCUUCUUGUUUUCAUCUUUCAUUUUUAUUUAUCUGAUGUUCUUUCCAUAUUUCUUUGAAGAAGUUGAAACGGAACUAAAUGAAUACUUCAAUCAGCCUAUCUUGUGCCAACUUUUUGUGUCAUUCUUUUUAUCCUUCUACUAAGUCUUCUCAUAUUGGGUUAUUGUGUGUUUAACUGGUCUAAGCAUUUGCAUGAAAUGGCUUGUUUAACAGUCAGAAAAAUUGUUCUUCCGACCCUAACUACGUUAAUGUUGUUUGAACAUUUUAUAGGAAGUUCUAGACCCUAUAGACUUGUUCUGAUAUGAACUAAUCAAAUAAUGAAGCUUGUCUGUAAAAGAGUGUCAUACCUCCGCAGAAGAUAUUGGGCUUAGAUUGCAUGGACUUUAUGAGUUUUGCUACUCUGAUUUUGACAAUAUUGAGCACAUAUUGCUUUGAUUUUGAGUUUUAUGUUUCUUUAUUCAUAUGGCUUUGUUCUAUGGUAUUUCAGCUUGUCAAGGAACUUAUAAAUCUUGGCAUGGUUAUACAGUGAGGGGUUUCUGUUAGGAGAUAUAGUUAUGAUAAGUUAAGAUUUUCUGUUACAGGAGUUCCAUUUGGUCAUACGUCUGUUUCAUCCCAACAAAAUUUUGUUUCAAAAGGUAUGUUGUUCUUUUGGUUUUUUAAAUUUUGAACCUGUUUUCUGUUCAUAAUUUGAAAGAGAUAAGAGAUAUGUAAAAGUCAGUCAGUUUUACCAAUACUGAUCUUAAAGAUGUGUAAGAAUGCAAAAGUGAUGCGGAAUCUAAAUUGAAACUUGUAUUGUAUGUAGAAAAUCCGUCUGUAAUGUUGGCACUGUGGGGAGUGAUUAUCUUCAGUUGUGUGAUAUGAUUUCCUUGGGGUGCAUAUGAAUUUACGAUGAUGCUCUAUACCUAUUGUAACUAGAUGCAAUUGUAGGUUGACAAAUUUGGUGAAUGGUCAUUUGUAUUGAAGAAAGUCUUGUAAAUAAAUUCUUUUUCUAAAAUCACAUUAUGAAGGGAUUUUCUUUUUGAUGGUUCUAUGGUGCAUUGUCCAACUAUAUGCCAGCUACCCGAUAUUUGAUGGAUUCAAUCAUGCAUCAAUCGUGAACUAUUGAUCAUUUUGUGGUUUGGUAAUGCUAUGCUGCUCCAUGCAUGGGAAUUGCUUGUUCACUAUUGAAACUUUCUAACAGAAGGGUUUAAGUCUUUUGUUUAGGAAACAGGUUGUAUACUUCCCUGGCUGUUCUAUCUGUAUGACACUAGGUGAGGUAUUGGGUGGUUUGUUUAAUUUUCUUUUUAUGCAAUUGGCAUUGGAAGUGAGGAGUUUUGCUGGGAUAUGUAUUUGGGAUGGGACAGGUCAUAUUCUUUCCCUUUACAUUUUGACCUAUAAGUCACUCGAUUCUGUGAUUAAGUACCUAGUAAGGGUUUGUGUCGAAGUCUGUCAUGCAACGAGGUGAUCCUAAUGGCAUCAGGUAGGCCCUGAAAACUUGAAAAUAAAAAACUUGUUUAUGAUUUAGAUAAAGCUUUACAAAAGUCAUUUUGAACUGUUGCAUACGAAUGUCAUAGUUAUACACAUACUUGUCUUCUAACAAAACCUGCAAUUAACGACGUUUCUUGUUCAGGAAUAUUGAUGCCUCAAGAUAGAGAAUACAGUAAAGAAAGAAGCUAGAAAUCUUUGAAAGAUCAGAUGGCCAUAGGGCAGGGCAAUCUAAUCACACUUUUGAACCAAUGGCUAUCAAGUCACGCAUCUGAACCAAUAUGCUAGAUCCAAAUAUCUUAUCUUCCAGUAAAUGGAAUUUUAACUUCUGCCUUCAAACUAGAAACUAGGAACACUGAUCAGAAUUUUUCCUCUGUCUUUCACAUUUUGUGCACAUUCCUUUGGCAAGAAAACCAUUAAAUUGAAAGCACUGUUCAUCCAUAAGAGAAUUCUAGAAUUCACCCUAUCAAAUUUAUGAUUGGAUUUUUACUUUGCUUUCUUUAACUUCAUAGCAAAGCUUCAGAUUGGGUGGAGUUCAGGAUGAAUAACCACCCGGUGUUUUGAUAUAUAGAUAAUCCUUUGGCUCUGAUAUGCUAUUGAUGUAGUGUCAAUGAAGAGAUUGGUGAUAUAAAAUACAUGUGAGACUUCCUAAUUCUAGAAUUUCUCUUAAACAAGAUACUGAUGAUGGAUCCAUUUGGAUUUGAUAAGAAUGAUAUUUUUCAAGAUUGGACAGGUAUGAGAGUGCUAAAAUUUAGAAUUUCUUCAGAAACAUGAUGAUACAAUAUGGCAGACUGAUUGAAUUAGGAAACAGGAGUGGAGAGAAUUUUACAUCCUAGAAUGGGUACAACCUUUUUUUUCAUUCCAUUCAACCUAGAAGUGUGAAUACGCUUUACCUCCUUUAAUUGAUUGGGCCUUGUGGGUGAAAAAAAAUAGGCUAUGGAGUUUUUCUAAUUAGGCUUGGAAAUAUGGCAUGAUUAUGCUUCGCAAGUUACAAUGGAUUCAAGACAAGUAAAUUUCUUUUGACCAAAAGCUUUACUAACGUGAUGCAUUCUUAGCCUUAGAUUCCUGAGAGGUAACAUGCUGUGGGAUCAUUAGGAUACUAUGCUUAAACAGUACAGGUUAUACCGUGAUACCUCAAAGUUUUUGAGUCUCAAUGAAAUCUCAAUCACCCAAGUGGAGAAUACACUGAAAGUAGUGAGCCCCCCAAGCAACUUUAUCAGGCCUAUCUGUCUGUUGGAAAAUAUCAGAAGUAGUGAAUUCAAACUUCAGCUGGCUGGAUUUCUCCUACCAGUAGAUUCCACCUUUUUUGAACCAUGGGAUUAAAGUCUUCCAAGAGUAAUUUUACGAGACGUUGCAGCUGUCAUUUCUUUUGAUGCCACCAUUUAAUGCUGAUUGAGAUGAGCUAAAUCCACUUUAUAUUAACUUGAUGAUGUGGUGUUACUGUUCUUUCUUUGUUUUCACCUUUUCCUUUGUGAUUAAACAACUUCAGUUUCGUUGGGUCAGUUGGAUUGCUAUGAGAUAAACCAUCAGGUGUAUGUACUGUGGCCUCAGUUGUAAUAUAAUUUUUUUUGAUGCUUAUUAUUUCCUUUGGUACCUUGUCUUGUCUUUUCAUGUUGUCAUUGUGAUUGAUGUAUGUGAUUGAAGUUAUUUUGUUCCCUUAGCAAGUGCAUCAAAAAAUUGUUUGCUUAAAUCUUGUGUAGGCCUUAACUUUCGUCACACCCUUUAUCCGUUGUACAAAAGCCAUCGUCCUCCUACACCUGAUACCAUUGUUCAGGGACUUCAAUAUCUGAAAGCAUCCAUCAAGGCUAUGUCUGUUAAAGUGAUUGAGGUGAGAGCAAACAUAGUUUAGGUUUAACCUGACUUUUAUUUGAUUUAUAUUGUUGACUUUCCAGUUUAAUGUAGGUUCCAGGGGUUGAGGCUGAUGAUGUAAUUGGGACCCUGGCUUUGAGGAGUGUUGAUGCUGGAUUCAAGGUAGUUAUUUUAACUUUGCAAAAUCUAUGAGAUGAUUUUCUUGGUAAAAUACCAAGAUCUUAUGUGCUAAGCUUUUCAAUUGACUUAACCUUGUUUUCUGUUCGAUAUUUAGAAGUAUGAAGUUGGUAUAAGUUUAAGCCAUGCAUAUAUUUUUUCAAAAGUAAGGCUCUUGUUGACUUUUUCAGAAGAUAUACAAGAUCGAAAGGGAUUUUUUUUCCGGGUAGAAUUACUUCUAGAAGCACGGUAGAGAUGGAUGGAAUACUUUUCUUAAUAGGGAAAUUUCAGAAUCUCCUUAGCAAGAAAAGAUGUUAAGUUAUGCAUCUCUGUUUUUCCUUUAGGCUAUUGAAGGAAAGAUCAUUUGUUUCGGUUUUAAUAUGCAUAAAAGGAUUAUUUUACCAGUAUUGUAACUUUAACAAAGUGCUUUAAACAAACUUCAUUGGUUGAUGGUACUUGUGGUUACUUUGGUCCUAAUUCAGUACUUCCCUUGUCGUGCAUUUAUUGCAGGUGCGAGUAGUCUCCCCAGACAAAGAUUUUUUUCAAAUCCUAUCUCCUUCGUUGCGCCUUUUGCGGAUUGCUCCUCGUGGAUUUGAGUGAGUAUAUUAUCUUCAUUUUUGUUGAUUUGGUCUAUGAGUUGGACAACUUUUGUGAUGUCUAAAUUAUACUUUUUAUGUAUGGAUUCUUUUACAAUCUUAUAUUUUUGCUGUACUGAAUGAACUUCUAUUUGAAAUUGGACUCACAUCUUUAGAUCUUAUUUCAUCAAAUUGAUUGUUGAUAGUUCAUUGAAGAUAUCAAUAUAAACAGCUGAUCAGCUUGAGAUAGCUAGGGCCUAAACCGUAUGUACCCAAUGCAUAGUCAAACUAAGCUUGAGACCGAAAAUUGUAGUUCCAAGAAGAGGCACACAACCAGCUUCUCAUGGGAAGUGAGAGAUUAUAAAGAUGGUGUUCGAGCCUUCAAUGGCAAUUGGUUAUGUUUAAUUGCAGAGAAUUUUCAUAUACUGUUCUUACUUUGGUUCUCUGUGUCAUACUGCCUAGUGUGGGAAAUUUUACUUUGGGUACAAACCUACUGUAUGUACCCAAUGCAUAUUAAAUUAGGCUUGAGACUGAAAAUUGAUGUAGUUCCAAGAAUAGGCACACAAAUAGUUUUUUGUGGAGCUUGAGAGAUUAUAUAGGUUGUGUUCAAGCUUUCAAUGGCAAUCUCGGUCAUAUGUAAUUGCAAACAACUUUCAUCUACUGUUCUUACUUGGGCUCUCUGAGACGUGCGCCGCCCUGAUGUGGGAAAUCUUGCUGAAAGUUGGAAGAAACUGGUCUAUAUUUAAUUUGUGGUGGGUAUGGUGACCCAUAAUUUAGGUUGUAUUUCGCAUACCCCCCAGUCCCACACCCAAGUUGUUUUUUGGAUCCCUCUCCCUUAACUGUGAUAGCUGAUGCAUGUUUUACCACUUUAAUCAUUUUUGUCCUUUCCUUUUUUGGAGAUUGUCCAUGCCUAUGAACCCUUAUCAGUGCCCAACUGUCUUAACACAGAAAGCCUUCCCAAAUCCUUCUUCCGUCCUUGAACAACCUUUCUAUUCCAUCUUUUACUCGUGCUAGAUGGAUUGAGUCAAAACACAAGGGUAAACUUUAACAGUUUUAUUUUUCAUUGGUAUUUGCUAACGAUACACUGUCUGCUUAAUGGAGUGGUGGCCAACUAGCAACUGCACCAAUUGUUCUGGUGCCUAUAGCUGAGAUGGGCAAUGGUAGGCAUGGUCAUUGUUUCAACUUUUAAUGGUGGAGAGGGUGGUGGUGAUGGUGACCGUUAGUGACUGUGACGGUUACAUGGUUGUGGCAGCAGUAGCAACAGCGCAAUGCAGGUGGUGGUUGCCACCAACAGCUGCAAGGUCAGCAAUGAUCAUGUUGUUUGGUGGCAGCAUAGUUGUAGUAAUUGAAGGAACCAAACUGGAAAUAAAGGAGAAAACAUGGGAAAAAGAAAUAAAGAAUAAGUAUACAGAUAGGAAGAUAUGUCUUUACCUACACCCUGAUCGCCUGGAGAAACUACCAAACUGUCCACAUUCUCCCCCCCCCAACAAAAAAAACCCCAUCUUUAAUAUUCAGUUGUUCAAUCCAAAAUUUAUUCUUUUUUCUCAUUUUCCUAGUUAGAGCUUUUGACUUUCUGAUGCUGCUACUUAGGAUGGUUUCAUAUGGCAUGGAUGAUUUUGCUGAACAAUAUGGAUCGCUGACGCCUUCUCAGUUUGUUGAUGUUGUUGCCCUUGUUGGUGAUAAGUCUGACAACAUACCAGGUUCCAUCUUUCACUAGAAAAAUGCUUGCCCUACUCACUUAAAGCUGAAAAGGAAGAAAAAGAAAAAGUCUUUAUAUGUGAAGAGUUAAUCAAAAGCUGUCCUGUAUUUUAGUAUUCUAGAGUUAUGCAUUUCAGAUUUACGUAUUAUCAUGUUAAUAAAACAGCCCAAAACCACUAUGUUGUUUGUGCUUUGAUUUUACCUUUUCAUGUAAUCGAAAACUAGAGGUGUCAUAUAUGAGAUAUUUGAGAUAUAAUAUUUUCAAAAGAAUUAUUCCUUUCAGAGUUUGCCUCCAUCUGUUUUAUGGCAAAUUGGAUGCAAAAAAAAAAAAUAGCUGCUGAUCUAUAGUCUUGUACAUGCUUUAAUUUUUGUUAAAAUGUUUGUUGAUCUCUAAAUAUUUUGUUCUUUGGAUUUCAGAUUCUUUUCAUUAAUUCAUUUUGGAUGUAUAUGUACUUGUGGAUUUGAACAUAUUUGAACUUCUGGGUUCUUUGACUGGAGUUCAACGUACAAUGCUCAGCACAUAACAUAAUUAGGGCAGCACAACAUUUUGAACUUCUGGGUUCUUUGACUGGAGUUCAACGUACAAUUCUCAGCACAUAACAUAAUUAGGGCAGCACAACAUUUUAAACCUGUCCUAUAACUAGUCCAUCAGUGUGGUAACUAGGUACAAGUCUAUGGGAUGUUUGAAGGUCUUAUUUUAUAAUGAUACAUCCUUGUUCAUUUACCUCUUCUUCCCGGUAAGUAGAUAGAUGGCUUUUACCUCUAAAAGCCUUUAUGUAGCUUGUUUUGAGAUUUAAUGUAUGACAUGAAUAUUAAGCAUGCUCAAUGAGUCUAUACAAGCUAGCUUUGAUAUACAUAGAUGGAACUCCUAACUUCUUCUUGUGAAUACUUAACAAAAAACGUAACUUGCUAAAAUAUCCUGAAAGUUAACUGCUAGCUUCUUGACAAAGGCAUUUUUCUGUGAAUGAAAAUCAUAUUUUGCUUUCACAAUCUUUACCACCUCACCUUUGGCUUCUAGUGCUUUAAUAAGUGUUUACACUAAUUUUUCUAAGUAAUCUUUUUCUCCUCUCUUUCUUCCUAUUUUGAUUUUACAUUUGCGAAUUUGCUGAAAAUUCAUGUGAACCUGUUUCUUUGAAGUCAGUGUCAUAUACUUCAUACUUUCAAACAACCACAUGUUAUGGUUAGUUAACUUGAUCUUAGAUUUAGGGGCUGCAUGACGAGUUGUCUGAUUUCUAGCUUGUGCAUUAUCUUUAGAUUCUUCAUAGUCAAUAAUUUGAUAGUUGCUCCUAGUCAAUCAAAAUGCUGCUUAUGAAAUUGAUCAUUGAUUACUUAAACUGUCAAAUGCAGGAGUGGAUGGGAUUGGAGAUGUUCGUGCCGUGCAAUUAAUAACAAAAUUCGGUAUGUUAUUGCUAGAUUACAGUUUUCUUGGGCAAACACGUAGAGCCUGUGAUACCUUUUCCUCUUUAGAAAUUUCUCUCCCGGAGCAACUUCAACAUUGCAGGCUGAGAUCUACCUCAAGAUUCUUCCCCUUGACAGGGACUGUAACAGGAAAGAAAAAAUAUCAAAAUUAAAUCUGAUACUGUCACCAAUGCCUGCAUACCUCUUAUGAAUGAGAAAUUUAAAUAUUUAACGGUAACUAAAUCAUACAAAUGCAAAGAUGUAGUAGAUUGGCUGCGAAUUGAUGUCAAUUAGGCAUGAAGUUGAGUGUGAGAUUUUUCUCUGGCUGCUUUUAUAUGGAUGUUUGGUCAAUAAUCGCCUGGUUGUCUCCGUUAAGUUGCAUCAAGACAUGGUAUUCAUUGAUUCUGGUUUCAUUAGUUUCUUGUUAUCCAAAUAUAACAAGGGAAUGUUCUUAAAACACAAUAUGUAUUUUCAGAUUAAUUAGAAGACUCUACCGUCCAACUACCCCUAUGUAUAUACCUACUUAUGAAGGCUUUGACAUUUCUUUCAUAACCAUCUAUUUCCUGAUUAAGUUUGACAUCUUAUUUCUCCGACUGCUGUUGUUUGAAAUAAAGGAUUUUUCACUUAGUUGCUUGUCAAAACUGCUUUUUGAACCUUGAUAAAAAGAAAAACCUUUGUUCCUUAAGAAACCUCUCAAGUUAAUUGCCAUGUGUAAUUUGUUUGCAAACAAACUGUGCUGUUGGAUAGGCAUGUAAAAUCUUGAUCUUUUUCCUUUUAUCGUAGGUACAUUGGAGAACUUGUUGGAAUGUGUUGAGCAAGUCAGUGAGGAGAGAAUCAGGCAGGUAUGGAAUCUUUGUUAAUUGCAUAGAUCAUCAAUGCCAUAUUAAUGGUUCUGAUGUUGUCUGUGGCUUUCUGAGGGUGUUGCUAGUAAAAAGUCUUGAUUCUUCUAUUACUGUUCUACGUUGGUACUUUUCUGAUAGCUGGAUUAUGUAGUUCUGCUCCAGAGUUGUACAGUAAUUGACAAAUUUGUUUGAAAUUAAUUUUAUCUGCUUUCAGGCCUUGAUAAUGAACACUGAACAAGCUAUCCUAAGCAAGAAUCUGGCAAGUCAUCUGCUGCUCUCAGAAUUUUCUUUUGUUCCCCUUUUUCCAUAGCUAAAAAUGAUGUGUUUGUACAGGCAAUGCUACGUUGUGACCUGCCAUCGUAUAUGGUUCCUUUUGCAACAAAUGACCUCUUGUUUAAGAAGCCAGAGGUAGGGGCAACUAUUAGCUGCUUAGAAUUAUUUUGUUUUUGGAUUCCAAUAACCAUGAACUUGAUUUUGAUGAUAUUGUAUGUUUCCUUAAUACUUGAGGGCUCCUGCAGUAUGUCUGUUUCCAUAUAAUAUUUCAACUGCUUAUCUAGUAAGAGCUCUGGUGUUAAAGUUGUGUAUUGUGUCCUUUUCCUGCCACUGAUUUUUUUAGAUUUACUAUUUAACUAGAGUAAAAGGUCAAAUGCUAUGCUUUGUUCAACUUUGCAAUCCUGGUGUUAAUUAUUGAAUUUGAGACCAUAAUAAUCUAAUAGCAAUACUUUUAACUUCGAAAUCUAUCUGCUAAUCCCUUGCAAACUUUUAAUUGUAUUUUGAACUUGAAUGGCGGUAUAAAAGAGAGAAGGGAACUAACAAUGGGUAUUUGAAGACGAGAGGAAAACAAAAGAUGAACCCAUCUCAUAUUGUAGCAUCGCAAGCUGGCACGUUACAGAGUAUGCCAAAUAUGAUAUUUUUCGCUACUUGAAGCAAGUCAGAUGUACUUUUUACUGAAAGAAAAAUGCCUCCAUGUUUUAUUUGAAUGUGAUUCCUUCACUUGUUGCUCCUCAGUUGACCAUAAUCACAGCAAUCUUCUCUGAAAUUUUUGAAAUUGCAUUUAUGGUCCUUCUGGUUGUUGACACAUAGUGGCUCUUAUAAACUCACCUAUAUUUUUGACUUAUGGUGUCCUCUAUAUUAUUGUAUUUAGAAGGAUAUUGCUGAAUAUAAAAGAAAUACCUGAGAGGGUACCAAUAUCAUUUGAAGAAACUCGUGAUGGAAUUUGAUGGAAUUUCUUAGAUCAUCAGAACAUAUUUUGUCCAGGAAAAAGAAAUCAGUUGCCUUUAGAUGAAACUUAAGAUGGCCAUCUUCUCUUGACCAUGAAGAUCAAGGAUCCGUUAGCCUUCUCAACAAUAUUUAAGAGAAGAUAGAGGGCCAUAAAUGACAGUAUGGGGAAAAUGCUUUUAGAACUUCACAUCAAAGCUGAUGCUGAGGAGUGCUAUCUGAUAUCGAUACAUGUUACUGUGGCGUGGACAUGAAUUAUACAUUCUCAUAUUGUCCUGUUUUGAUAUCUAAAUCUUUGGCAUUGUUAUUUUCUCAUUCUCUAGUCACCAUGCGGAACUAAUUGAUAAUGAAAGUUCUGCUGCAUUAUUCUGUUCUUUAUGUUCUUUAUGCUAUAUGUGUUAUUUAUCUAAAAGACUUCUUUAUGCAGUUAAGGACCAACUUAGGGUUCCUUUGCUCAUGCUUUGGUUUUCGGGUAUUUUUGCACAUAUCUGCUGAGGAAUGGAGUACAGGUCCUUAUGUUGUCUAAAGGAAAUGUGUUUCUGUAAAAGCCUAAGGCAUCUAAGGUCUUUGGUGCAGGAUGAUGGGGAGAAAUUCACAAGCCUCUUGACAGCAAUAAGUGCUUAUGCAGAAGGAUCCUCAGCAGAUUCUAUCAUCAGAAGAAUGAUUUAUUUGUGGAAGAAGCUUGAAAAGAAGCAAUUGAGAUGAUAGUCUUUAUUGAUCACUCUAACUGUUCUUAUUUGCUAAUGGAAGAUGUCUUUUGUGUACAUCCCGUUGUACAGAGUAAAUUGUUGCUCUCUUUGGAUCAUAGCUUGCUUGUAAUUUCGGGUAUAGGAAAUGACUCAACUUAAAUUGCUUACCAAUUUAUUUCUUUGGUCAUGUGUAUCUUAGAACUCUCCUCACAGCAUUCUCUUUGUCUUUGCAGGUUCCGGGCUAAACAAGCUUUCAGUCAAUCACAUAUAUGGGAAACUUUACAAGUGAUCUGACUAAGCGAGGAUGGUAACAUAAAACAUGGACAGCGGAAGAAAAUAUGGCACCUGAUGUGGUCAUUUAAAAUCCAUUUUCGGGUCAAGCAAACAUCUUUUAGUCGAAUGUAUGGAGCGGUUGAAACUUGCUUCUUGUGCCUUCUAGUAUAUGCUGUGUAUGCUAACGUUUUGAUCUGCUAGUUUGAAUGAUAGAAAAGAAGAAAAAAUGUGGAUUAGUAUUUGAGAAGCAAAUGACUUGAUUUUGUCAAGUUGUUUUGCAUUCUGCGUCUAUCCUUGUAUUCGCGUGGGAAUUCCAGAUCUUUUACACUCAACACCUGACCAAGUGAAUCCCGUGGUAGAAUAUUAUCUGCACGGUGCAUGUGUCUAGCUUUUAUCAGCAAAUUUUCCUAUCGAAAUUGGAUAAAAGGUGAAAAACCCAUUAACCGAAGAAUCAAAGAGAACUAACAACAUUAAAGACUUUUCUAUUAACAGAUCAAAAUCUUACAAUAGCUGCAGCUCUCUAGAAAGAUGAACAGCUAGUUUGCGAGUUUAGGAUAGAAAAGAAAAGAUCUGAAAGCUUAAGUUACGAAAGAAAAGAAAUGAAGAGAAAAGAAGAGAUUGAGUUGAGUUUUGAUGUUGUUUGAGAGUUUAUAAAAGAAAUGGGGGUAGAACUAAAAAUAGUUUUUCCCUCCACCUAGUGGAGUUAAAAAAAAUGCUCUCCCCUGAACCUCCAUCUCUACCUCCUCUGAUUGAGGAGGACUUCAGUGAAAUCACCACCUCUUCCGUGUUGAUAGCCAUCUCAUGUCAUCAACCGUUACUAGUUUCGCACCAUAACCCUUCCUUAGAAAACCUAGUUCAAGAGGUAGGAACCGUUACUAAUGAUAAACCCUCUUUGAAACCUCUUUUGAAAAACUAGGGGAGCCCUUUGCGAGUAAGCCAAAUACAUAACCUCCCCCAAAGCCCCCAACCAAUCUUUAAUUUGGGACAGUAUAUCCUUGUCUUGGAAAAUGCAUCAACAGAAAUUUUAGAGCGAAGUUUGAAACUUGAUGAGCCGGGAAGGACGAGUGCAAAAUAAAAAACUCAUCUUUUUGAUGAGGUCAAGAUUUGCAUAAGGGGAAAAUCGAGCCACUCCUAUUGUAGAAGCUAGGGUUCAAGUUCUUGGACCAGAAAGGGAGUUAUGGAAGCCCCAAGGGAACUUAGACAUCUUGGACCUUGGAGCAGACUAUUUCGUCGCAAAGUUCUCAGAGCAAAAGGAUUAUUAGAUAAGGGUGAUGUUGAACUAAAUAACUCGACUCGAGUUCGCAAGCUACUCGGUUAACAGCUCAAUUCGAGGUUGUUUUGAUUGAGCUUGAGCUCGAGCUCCAAUAUGUUGUACUCAAAGGCUCGACGAGUCUAAUCGAGCUUUUUAUAAUAUAUAUAUAUAUAUAUAUAUAUAUAUAUAUAUAUAUAUAUAUUAAUUUUUUAAUAUUUAUUAUUGUGAAUUGUCAAUAAUAUCCUUUAUUUAAAAUUAUAUGUAAAAUAUUAAUUUUUAUUACAUGAGCUUGAUUAGACUCGAAUAGGCUCGAUUAAACUUGAUUACACUCGAAUACGUUUGAUUGAGUUUGAUUUGACUCAAUUAGAUUUAAUUAAAUUCGAGCUCGAGGAAGGUAAACUGAAGUCGAGUUCGAGCUCGAGCUCGACUUCUAAAAACUCGACAAGCUCGAGCUCAAUUAUUUUAUCUCGAGUUGAGCUCGAGUGCACACUUAUUAUCAGAAGGUGAUCUCUGAAGGACCAUGGUUCAUUAAUAGCCAUUUUCUUACAAUAAGAACAUGGCAACCUAACUUCAUGCCAAGGCUUUUGGGGUUGUCAGUGGAAUACUAUGAUCGGGAAGUUCUCCAAAAGAUUGGAGCAGCCCUGGGUCUUCUACUCAAAAUUGACUCACAAAUUGUCACCAUGAUCAGAGGGCGAUUCUCAAGGAUGUGUGUAUUCAGAUAGAUAUCAUUCUACCAUUAGUCCACUACUAAGAUAUAGAUGAUCAUGUGCAACCAGCCCAGUACAAAGGGCUGAACUUUGUUUCAAAUGUGGCAGAGUGGCAAGGAUUGAGAAAGAUUGUUUACAUUGCAUUUAGGAUAUGGAAGGGCAAAAUCAAGCCAGGUAUUACCCCAAGCCAGACAACAAUUUGCAAAAUCUCCUGCAUGGUCGUCUUGGCAAUUAUGGGCCUUGGAUGAAAGUGAUGAAGAAUCCAAAGUCCAAACAAUCAGUAGAAUGGGCCCAAAUUCAAAUUUGAAUUGGCAAUGAAACUUGGGCCAAUUCCCUAUAGUAAGUCAACUUUAGGGAAUAGGAUCUUUGAAAGACAAUGACCUAACAAGAAGUGGUUCCCUAAGUCAAAGGCUGGCACUCCCCUGAUGGAGGAACCUGAUACACUGCAAAAAACUUUCUCCCCUAGAGCUAAACUUACUAACCCUUUCAUUUUGCUCCAAAAUGAGGGGUCACAAAAAGGGGAAGAAUUGGAAGAAGCAAACCUAGGAAAGCCAACUAUGGAUGGUGUGAUCACCAAAAGACACUCCCAUUUCCAUAAUAGAGUGUACAAGAGGCCGAAAAAUGGAGGAUGGAAAUCUCACUAACAAAAAUCAGAAGAAAAAGGGAUUAGAUCAAAAAACUUUUGGAAGGGCUACUCUGCUAAGGAUGCUUUAUUAGAGAAGAACUCUUAGAGGCCAUUAUGCGCCAAAGCACAUGCCCAAAUCCUCUAGAGGAAAGACCUUACCACAUGGAGCAAAGAAGGAUAAUGAUGAACUGCACCAUCAACAAUUGGAUCCAGGAAGCAGAGCAAAAUCACCAAGAGUAGAAUGGAGAAUCGGUAGACUCCCACUAUGUUUACAUAUCGUAGUACCUUUGGGAAAUGCUACUCCAAGGAAGCCCCAACUCCCCCAGCAGAGCCCACUAAAGCAACAUAUUAGGGAUGCUUAAUCUGUGGGCGACACGCACUCGCCUGGACAUCUCAUAUACCUAGACCUCUUCAACAGAAAUGGCAAAAUCAAAGAGUUGGAGGCACACAACAAACAUGGAACUAGAGAACAUAAGACUAGUACAAGACUAGCACUGGAGGACUGGUUGUCAACAGUUGGAGAAGAGAAAGGGGUGGUUUUCUACAACCAGACACCAAAUUGGGAUUAGAAAGUCGCCUAAGAAGAAGAUGGAAAGGAGAGUAUCUGUCGUCUUUCCCUUUACAUUGGGCAUAGACUGGCUCAAAGAGGUUGGAACUUUCAUUUUCCCAGGGUCAGAGGUAGUAGUAGCAGAAGUAAGCACUAGAAUGGACAGAAUGGGAGAGAGUCCCCACAUGGACUUUAUUAUGAGAAUUUGGCCACUGAUAGGGAACCAAAGUGUCAGGACCCAAAAAUUAUUUUAUAUUUUCCUCCUAUUUUUGAAAAAAUUAAUUUAUAUUUCCUUUUAAUUUUACUUUACUUGCAUAUUUUCUAGCCUUAAUUUGAUCGUGAUUUUAAAGGUUAAGUUAAGAUUUUUAUCAUUUCCUUUUCUAUAUUUUAGUGCAUGUUAAGUUUUGUAGAGUAUUAAGGUAGUGUGACCGACUAGUGAGAUGUGUGUGUUAUAUUUAGUGGACGAGAACGAGUGUGGUCCUAGAGGGAGUAUGUGAUUAAAAGUGUUAAGAGUGUAUUAGAGGAACACAAGAUAGAUUAGCUAUAAGAAACACAAGAGAGACAAAGAGAUAGGAAUGGAAUUUGAUCUUGACACUUGUCAACCAUCAAGCCAAGACUUUGACCAAGAGAAAUGUUGUAUUUAUCUUCCAAAUUAGCUCCAAAAACUCUCAUUUUUCCUUGCUUUGGCCGAGCUCCUCACUCCCAAAAACAUGAAGAAAAAACUCAACUUUCUUCCUCCAUUUCUUGCUUCAAAUCUCCCCCAAACUUUGGUUGAUUCUUGGAACCUUGCUUGAGCUUGGAAAGAAGUCUUGUUUGGAGGCAACUCUUGGAGGAAACUUGGACUUGUUGCUUGGUUGAAAUUGCUAGGAGAGGUAUUGGCUUGAAACCCUCUCUUUUCUUCAAGUUUCUAGUAGAUUUGUAGCUAGAAAAAUUGGAUCUUUGAUGGGUUUCUUUGAAACCUUGAUUUAGGUAGAUGAUUUGAGGAAAAUUUCUAUUUUGAAAGCUUCUUACUGGCCAAAACUUUUGAGUGCUGUUAGCCCUUAUUUUUUAAAACUUUUGGGGGAAAUCUUGCUCCACAAACUGUGUUAGACAUUAAACUUUGAUUGUGAGUUGGAUUUGAACAAAAAAUCAUGAGCUUAAGUGGGAAGGUUGAGUCAAGUGUUGCUGAAAAUUUUUCCUGCAAGAGACUCUGAGCAGUCUUGGGAAAUCUGUUAUAUCUUGGUGUAGAAAAAUUCGAAUUGAGUCUCGUUUGUUGCAUUUGAAACUAGACUCAUAACUUUUUAACCGCGUAAAAUUCAUGGUUUGGUUCAUUUUCUAUAAAUACCAGUAAAAUUUCCAAGUGGGCUGAAAAUCUAAGACUAUCUUGAUUUUGCGCUCAGUUGAGCAGUGAAUUGAGGCUGAGAUUUGACUAAGUUAUGGGCUAAAUUUUAUGAAGCUAUCUUCUAGAGAUUGCAGAUGUUUGAGUCUAUUUUCUAACGUAUAAGAUUUAUGAUUUUUGGACUUACGAAACUCAAGUUAUGAUUUUUCAAAGAGCAUUACAAAAAUUGGGAUUUUUCUUAUGAAAUGACAAACAAAACUUGGAAGGUUUUGGCCAAAUCUUGGAUUGGAAUUUGUCUCGUUUCCUCUAACUUUAAAGUAAAAUUUUGCUCAACAUAGUUUGCUAAUCAAUUGCCCUCGAAUGUGCUUUUAAAAGGAGCAACAAGUUUGAAUUAAAAGGGAUGAAAAGUAGAGCGUCAUUCCAAGAGUUUUGUGGGAAAAUUUCAUUUGCUUGAUGUUCAAAACUUGGAGGAUUUGUUGGUGUUUUGGCUCCGAAAUAAAUCGUGGUUUGGUGAAGUUUUGACUUUAUAAGUUUUAGUAAACUUGAAUGCUCAUUUAUAUAUAUCAAAACUUGGGCAAAAGAUUAGGAGUUAAGGAAGUGAAAGUGGUUUUCCCUCCCACAUGUAUUUUGUUAAACUCUUGAGCGGUUUGGCUAACUUUUGAAUCGAAAACUCUUGCCACAUUUUGACUUACAAUUGGAGCACUUUUGAAUCUACCCUUGAGUGUUAUCUUAGUGGUUAAGUGAAGAGAGUUUCUCUCUUAAUUUGACAAGAAAUUGAGCAUGCUUGAGUGGAGGGUUGAGGGGAAAUUGUUGGUUGAACGAUUAUAGGUAAUUAUUAAUUGUGCAUGUCUCAGGUAUUCAAGAGGAAUUCGAGGGAAACCCCAAGGAGAACUUGUGAAAGCUUUUUUCUUGUCUUGCUUACUUGACUAUUGGUGAGUGUUCCUUUCAUGCUCAUGCAAUAAGUGACUAUGUGAAAAUUUGUGAGUGAUUGCUUGAAUGUUAAAUGCUUUUCAAUGAUUGUUAAAUGGAUUUUCGAUAGGCGAGUGUGUACUUUAUUACACUCGACCUAAGUGAACGGGAAAUUUUCAAUGAUCAAAUGAUUGAAUGGUACUUGUGCAUGAAUGUAAGCUUUUGGCUGAACUGGGCCCUUGCCCUUUGUUGCUAGUCGACUCAAGCCAGAAGCGGACUUGGUCGGACGGCUAGUGACCCUGGGACACUGUUUGGUAUAUUCGAGUAUGACCACGAAAUCUGGUAAAAAACUAGCCAGUGAAUACAAUGCAAUGAUUGAAAUGAAUGAAAUGAACAAUGAAGGAGUUUUCACUACUAAAUGUUUUCAAAUAAUGGAGGAAUAAGGGAAAUGAUCGGCGACCGACUGACUGAAUGAAUGGCUCCAAGUGAGCGCGUAUCCUUCCAAUGAUUGAAUGUUUAUUUCUUGAAUGACUGUUUAUUACUGUACAAAGUGUACAAAGUGUUCAAAUUGUUAAAUGUAAUACUUCCAUGUUUUAUCUACCUGAUUGCUUACUUAGGAACGUCACUGGACUUUUAGCUUAUUCCUUUAGUUUUUGUUUUCCUUACAGGAGUGGAGGAUGGAGCAAUUAAGUGUGAACUAGAGUGUAUAACCCUCUUGUACUUUUACUUUUGGUAGAUAGAUUGUAUUUCGACAUUUGAUGUUGUAUUAUACAUUUGACUUUUUGGUUGUAAAUAAGUUUGAAUUUUGGUUGAGUUGUAGAACUUAAAUGUUAUUUUUGGAGGAUUGCACGUUUAAUCUUGAGAGUUGAUUGAAGUGAAUGAGUGAGUCCUGACGAGAGUUGGAUAGUCGAUCCGCCAAACUCUUGGGUAUGCCCUAAAGGGAGGUGGGGUCGUCACACGAAGGGGAACACCCAGAGAGGGGAGGAUGAGCCGCCAAGGGAGAUAUAAUAGAAGGAUAAACAAACAGGCACUAUAUGUGCCAGGGUUCAACCUAUUGAGACAUUUUAGCUAGAUAAAGAUCAUUACAUGGAAUGUAUGAGGUGCUGAGAGCACCAUAUUUAGAAAUCAUCUCCUAGACCUCUGUGACAUAGACCAACUAUUGGUUAUGAUCAUAGCAGAAACUAAGAUCUUCGGGCAGACAGCCGUUGACAUGUGUCAAAGCUUGCCAUUUGAGGGUGAUAAGUGUGUAUUUUGUGUGUGUUUUAUAGUUUUUUUUGUGUUUUAUUCAUUUUUAUAGCUAGGUUUUCAGUGAAGUAUACAUUUUGCAGUUCAAAGUGUGAAAUAUUGUAUUUCUAUGGAUUUAAGUGGUGAAAACUUCAUGUUUUUGCAUGUUUUAAUGAUUCAAUCAUCAAAUGGAAUGAAUUGAGAAUAUAUUUGGAUGAUUGUUGAAUAUUUGAAGUGAUUUAAAGAGAAUAUGAAGUGCAAAACGUUCAAAAGAUGAAAUGCAAUCAAGUAUAAAAGAAGAGAUGUUUGACAGCUUUGACACCUUUUGGUAUUUCAGCUAUAACUUGAGUUAAAAGUAUCAGAUUGAGGUGAUCAUUGAGUUAUUUUGAACCUAAGAUAUAGCUCUACUUUUCUUAUGAAGUCAUCAAAAUCCAGUUCAUGCAUUUUCAUGGUCAAAAGGUCAAAACACCGUUGGCUAUUUUUGUUGUCAAAAUUGAAAUAGAGGAUUGGCUAGUCAAGGUAUUUUAGCCAAUUCUUAAUCGACAGACCUCCAAACUAUAUGAUUCUUAAUGCAUCGAAAAUCUAACUCAAAGUCUAUAACUUUUAUGGUUUGUACAAGAGUUAGUUCAAUCUUCAUCAUUGAGAAAUAUUAGUUGAAUUUGGUACAAAAUAGAGCAAAGAUGAAGACUGAUUAAAAAAGUGCAAACCUGCAAGGAAGGCAAUACACGAACUUACGCCUGCGUAUUGAUCCCGUGUAUUCUAUAAACGUGUGUACAACUUGCACAACCACUUGUUUUGAUUUUCACAACUUUUUACAGCUAAAUUCUAAUAAGCAUUUCGAUUGUAGCUAUAAAGUAGAGCAUGGAGACUUGUAGAAGAAUAUUUUGAGAAUCUCAAGAGCAUUUUACAUCAACUUUAACAGCUUAUUUGGAGUUUGAAAUCAUCUAUAAAUACGGGGAUUGAAGACAUAUUUUCAUAACUUCGGAAGCUAGAGAAAUUACACAAAAAUGUAGUCUUUUACUAGAAUUUCCUUAGUUCAUUAGUUAGGGUAAAUUAGUAUAGUUUGUUUCAUCCAAGUCUUGUAUGUAACUAAGCAUAGAUGAAGUUGAAGAUGAAUAUGGAGAGUUUGGAACACAUGUGACAAGGGUGACACUUCUUCUAUCACUUUAUUUCUUAUAUUGAUUCUAAUGUUUGAUUAUAAUAAAAGUUUGAAUCUUGUUUUCAUGUCUUUCAUAUUUUGCUAAGUUUUUGUACCUAGGGUGUGGAUGAACUUCUAUGAUUGUUAUGUGAUUUUUUCUUGAUUAUUUGAUGAUAUUAUUUUGAACAAAUUUUUUUAGCACUUUUGCUUUGUAAUCAUGAUUAAUUGGCCAUUACUUGUGAUAAUCUUAAGUUGUUAAAUUUGCAAUGAAAAUUGAGAUUUGGCACUAGUUCAAGAAAACGCUAAAUCUAGGGAGUUCACCCACGAAAGUAGAGGAGUACCUUUAUGGAUUUAAUUGCUUGUCCCAUGUAAUUUUAUAAAAGAAAUGAGGUUGUAGUUAAUUUCAUAACCACGAGAGUAGAUAUGACUUAGUUACAAGUAUAGUUGAUUCAUUACGAGAUUAGGUUUCAUAUUCAUUAGGAAAUUACGUUAUAACUAACCAAGAUAAUAACAUUCAAUUAAUCGAUAAUUUCACUUGCAGGAGGAGUGAGGAAUUUUAUAGCACUAGGAGCUUUCUAUUGUUAUUUUUAUUAACUUUAUUUCAUGUUUAUAAUGUAGAUUUAAUUUCUUACACAUGUGAUAGUCUAAAUAAUGAAAGAGUUUGAAAAUUAUCGGUAAUUGACAAUCUUCCCUGUGGGAUUGACACCUAAUAUUCCAUGUACUCGAUCAACGAUUUGCAUACAUGCAAAAAAUGGGGUAUUUAGAUUUUAUUAAAAUUUAGUGCAUGGUAGAACCUCGUCAGGGGAAUUUGAAAUUAUGGAUUUAGAAGGCAGAAAGGAGAUUUAUGGCUUCUUUGGAAACAAAAUGAGGUGAGGGUCAACAUACUCAACAAGUCCCCUAAGAAAAUUCAUGCCACUAUCUAGGUAUCACCUGAUACCCCUUAUUGGUUGAUUUUUGCCAUCUAUGCUAGUUCUAAUUACAAAAAUCGAGUGGAACUCUAGAAUAAUCUUAGAACAGUGGCUAGUCAUGCCUCUUUACCUUGGCUUUGUCUAGACGAUUUCAAAAAGAAAUUGUCUAACUCAAAUAAAUUAGGAGGGAAUCCCAUUAACCAGGAACAUGCUAGUAAUUUUCAGGAUUGCCUAGAUUUUUGUAAUUUAAUGGACAUGGGAUACUCAGGACCUAAAUUCACCUGGCUUAACAAAAGGUACUUUGGGGGGCUUAUCUUUGAAAGAAUUGAUAGGAUUUUCUAUACCUUCUAAUGGAAUCAAUUGUUCCCAAAUUCCUAUAUCCUACAUCUACCAAGGACAAGAUUUGAUCAUUGUCCAGUGAUGGUUAACCUUUUUCAAUUUAAUAGGCCGGAAAAAUUGUUUAGGAUUGAAAAGUUUUGGUUGACUGAACCUACCCUUAGGGAGGUGGUUCAGAAUGCUUGGAUUAAUGGCUGUGACAUCUCUAAUGCCAUUAACCAAUUUAUUGAUGCUGCUAAACAGUGGAGCAAAGCCAUGUUCAAGGAUAUUUUUAAAGAGAAGAGAAUUCUGCUGGCUAGACUAAGGCAUUCAGAGGAGCCGAUAAGCUGGUCCCUCUACUUUUCGAAAUGACCUUGAAGAGCAACUUCAACAGGAGUACAACCAAAUUUUGAUCAAAGAAAAGGACCUAUGGUCCAUGAAAUUCAGAGUUGAUAGUUUAAUCUGGAAUGAUCUCAAGACUAAGUUCCUCCAAUCCUCAACCAUAGACAGGAGAAGAAGAAAUUGAUUUCUAGCUCUUAGAACCCAUUCUAGAAAUUGGAUCAAUGAAGCCACACAACUGAGAAACCAUAUUAUUCAGUUCUAUAAAACAUUUUUCACUUUUGAUAUGGUAGUUUCCUUCUUAGAGCUUGAUAGCUUCCCAGUGAUGAAAAGGAGGCUUGAUCCCAACUGCAAUCCCAACCUGAAAUUGCAGUUGGGAUCCAGUCCUACUACUCUUGAAAUUUGCCAAGCAGUUAAGGACCUAAAACCUUUUAAAGCUCCUGGGGCUAGAUGGCCUUCCACCAGCUUUUUAUCAAAAAUUUUGGCUAGAUAUUAGGAGUUCUAUUUCCUUCAUGACCCACAACACCUUUGAAAUUAGGUGACUUUCCAAAUAAUGUUAAUGACUCCUUCAUCUGCCUUAUCCCAAAAAAUAACCAACCUGAAACCGUUAAACAAUAUCAUCCUAUUAAGUCUCUGAAACACCUCUUCUAAGAUUCUAUCCAAGGUGCUAGUUAACAGGCUUAGGCCUCUAAUUGAUAGUUGAUACCUUCAUAUCCCCUAUGCAAACCAGUUUUAUUCUAGAAUGUAGAGGGACUAAUAAUGUGGUUAUUGUGCAAGAAGCUGUCCAUUACAUUAGCAAAAGCAAAAAGGCUGAUGGAUAUUGUGCUAUCAAAUUGGACUUAGAAAAAGCAUAUGAUAAGCUCGAAUGGAGUUUUAUCAGGGAGGCUUUGUACCACUUUGAUAUCCCCUUAUCACUCAGUAAGGUGAUUAUGAAAUGUAUCUCUACUUCUAGAUUGGCUGUUUUGAUCAAUGGUUCACCUGCAGAGUGGAUAUAUCUAUGAAGACGAAUUAGACAAAGGAACCCAAUAUCCCUAGACAUUUUUCUCAUCUGCAUAGAGUUUUUAUCCCCAAGCAUACAACAGGCUGCAGAACAAAAGAAACGAAAGGCCUUAAAGAUGGGGAGAAAUGGACCUGUUAUAUCACACUGCAUGUUUGCAAAUGAUGUAAUCUUGUUUUCAAGAUGUAUGGACUCUUCCAUUCUGGAGGUGAAAAAGGUGUUGGAUAACUUUUGUUUGAGAUUUGGGUUGGCCAUUACCUUGGAAAAGUAAAAAAUUUUCUUCUCCAACAACAGUACACACCAAAGCCAGUCUAUGACCACUUCUAUCCUAGGCAUCAGCAACAGUAAUGAUCUAGGAAGGUAUUGGGUGUUCCUCUUUUAAAUUCCAAAUCACAAAACACACCUACAGCUUCUUACUUGAUAAAACUCAGAAGCAAAUUGGUUCGGUAGAAAGCAAAUUUGCUCUCUUUUGCUAGGAGAAAAGCUAUCAUCCAAUAGUGACAUCCUCCAUCUCUUCUUUUUAUGCCCAUAGCAUCCCUGUGCCUAAAGCAACUUGUGAAGCAGUGGAAAAAAUUCAAAGAGACUUCCUUUGGGCCUCAAACCAAGAAAAGAGAAAGAUUCACUCGGUCAAGGGCCUCUUUGGCAUUGCAAUAACUUAUUGGAAAGUACUUUACCAAUAAAGCUUUUAAUAAAAAUAAUUAUUAAAUAAUUAAGUGCUUUUUAAUAUAUUAUUUAGAUACAUAAUUCAAUAAGCACUUAUUGUAUUGAAUAAUAUAUAAUUUAAAGAUUUUUAAAUAUAUUUAUCUCUUUAUUUAGUUUAUAAUAUAGGAUAAAAUAAUUAAAUUCAAUGUUUCAUUUUUUAAACCAUAGAAGCCAUUUUAAAAGCAUUAAAUUUGAAUUUUUACUAAAAGUGCUUCUAACCCCAAAAAUUUCACUCCUAAUUUUAUGGCAUGACGUUCACCAAACAUGUCAAAAAUACUUUUAACACUUAAAAGUAUUUUUCAAUCUAAAGCAUCGCAAUCCAAAACGGAGCCUAAAUGGGUAACUACCACUACCUCUGCUUCUCAAGGAGGACUUGGCCUCAGGAAAACUGCUGAUACUUGUAAGGCUACCAUGGCUGGGUUAUGUUGGAGGAUGAGGCAAAACCAGACUGAACCAUGGGCCGAUUUGCUUAGUAGAAGAUAUGUUGAUGAGGAGGCUUCUGCCCAAGAGAGAGAGCUUAUUCUCUCCAAAAAAAAAACAAGGUUCCAUCAACAAAAAAUGUCUUAACGUAGGUGUAGAGCUAUACAAUACAGGAACGGUGUGGGCAGUAAGGAAUGGAAAUCUGACUAGUGUGGUUAGAUGGACAGAAGUUGGACCAAUUAGAAGGCACAUCUCCGGACCUCUAACUGAUGGAGAAGAUCAACUUAUUGUCAAUCAAUUUUUUGGUCUAGGUUCGUUGUGGGACCUCAGUCACAUAUCAGUCCAACUAUCUGAUCAUAUCCUUAAAGUAGUUAAAUCCAUUCUAGAUAAUAGGUCACACAAGCUAAUGAUUCCAUCUGUUGGAAAGGGAAUGCUUCUGGCCUUUUUAGUCUCAAGUCAGGAAUAGAUAUGUUAUCCUCCAACAGGGGGGAGGCUGUAAUUCUGAUUUGAAGUGGAUUUGGAAAGUGGUAGCUAGUACUAGGGUCAAAAUUUUCCUAUGACUAGCCAGCUAGGACAGGCUUUCCACCAAAAACAAUCUGCUGAAAAGAAAGAUUGUUCAAGAGGAAAAGUGCACUCUCUGUGAUCAUGGUAAAGAAGCUGCUCUUCAUAUGCUGGGGUGGUGCAUGGAUGCUGAAAAACUUUGGAGUAGCCUGGCUAUUCCAACCUCAUUCAAACCUGCUAAGAAUGACAAUGUGGGAGGUAGGUUGAGAAAAGUCUGCUUGAAAACAGAACACUCUCCACACUCAAACCUGCCUUGGGGAACCAUAAUUGCUUAGGAUGUUGGCUGCUUUGAAAAAAUAGGAACAAAAGACUGUUUGAAGGACAAAAUACUUCCAUAUGCCUUCAAAAAUCCAUGGUGGCCUCUGCAGCAGAGUUUCUAAAAAUAAGCCCAAACAACGGAGCAGGUUUCAAGGUCAAAGAGCAGAUUAAUGUCUGCUGGCAACCUCCCACUAGCCCUUACUUUAAAUUGAACACGGAUUAUCCAUGGGUAAUCCUGGUCCUGCUGGAGCAGGAAGCAUAAUCCGUAACCAUUUGGGUGAAUGGAUUGGAGGAUAUAGUAUGAAGCUGGGAUGGUCUACUAACUUGAAUGCUGAGUUAUGGGGCCUAAGAGAUGGAUUCAUUCUAGCUCAAUCUCUCAAUAUUUCUCAUCUUAAUGUAAAAAUGGAUGCUAGAGUCAUUAUGGACUUGCUACUGGAUUCUAACUCUAAUAUUCAUGCAUCCUCUUCACUUCUUAUUGAUUGCAAGACUAUCAUGAGCAGAAUCUAAUUAGUUUCCGUUAGAGGUGUUCUGUGAAGCAAACAAAUGCGCGGACCUUUUGGCAGAGAAGGGCGUGGAAGGCUGGAAGCUGAAGGUGAUUUCAUUUUGUUUGAGAAUAGGCUCCUAGAUAUUUCUAAGUUAUUAGCUGAUGAUGUUAGGGGCUUAUGCCUGCCACGUUUUGUAAACUCUAACUAAUAUCUAUAUAUUCUACUUUUCUUUUUUCUUUUUUUUUUAAAAAGGAAAGAAUUGAAAUGAUAUUGAAUACCUAUAUAUCAAUAAAAUUUUGUUUAAUAAACAUUUAGGAAUAAAACUGGUGUUUUAAAAAUUUUUAUAAAGCUUGCUUGAACUUUCUUUAAUUUUCCGCCCAUAUUUGGGCAAAAAAAGUUUUAUUAACUAGAGCUGCCAGUGUGAUCCAUCCAAAUCUUCUCAUUUCUUUUCUUUUCCGUCAAGCCACAACUCCUAAACAUCAGAAAAGAGCAACUUUCCCUCACUGUUUUUUUUUUCUUUUCCCCUCAAAUCUAAGCUUCCAAACUAAGCAGAACUAAAAUUGUUAUCAGUUGGAAGAUUGUGUUGCAUCAGUUGUUCUUAGGUUGGAGGCAUUACGUGUGAGAAAUGAAAGAUGAAUCUCAAUUGGUAUCCACGUCAGUCAAUUUGCGUCUAUACAAAUCUUUGAGGUCACUCUGCUUUGGUGUGGUCUCUUGGCCACAGAAAACGAUACUAACUAAUCGGGGCAAUUCAACUUCAGCAUUCUUGCCUAGCGUGCAAUUGAAUUUGGGGUCUGCCUGUGCAAUUGACUUGCAAGGAAACAACACGCCUGGAAAGGGACUACAAAUAGCGUAUUUGUGUAUAUAAGAUUUCUAGGUUCUGGACACGGAAAUGGUGAGAAUUUCACCAUCCUCUCGAGUCUCGACCGACAGCUAUAAAUGCUUCAAGAAAAGGCUCUUAGCAGAUUUGUUAAACAAACGAAUAUGAUUGCUUUUGCCGCGUUAGGUUCCAGUCUUAACAAGUGUUGAUUCACUGAUUAUAAGGAAAGGUUCCCAAAUGCCAUUGAAUUAGAGUGGAGUGGUAGUUUACUUGAACCAUGGACUUUGAUCAUACAAACUCUGUCAUUCUUUCAUGAAUGGAUCAGUUAAAAUGUAGUUUUUCUGCCUGCUAAUUUCUGUCUUAUCUUUGCUACCAAAUGGCCUACAAGUGAGAUGCACAGAAAAGUAAGAGGCAUAUGUAGAUAAACUAUGAGCAAUCUUCACCUGUUAAUGCAUUCAAGCGGGUUAUAGAAACCUUUCACCGUGAGGACCAGAAAUUGUAAAUACUAGAGCAAAGGUAAAUGAUCUCAUCACCUUGUGUUUCUAAGGAUACAAUUUGAAGAUAAAAAUAAUUGACCCUGGUAAUUCAUUUUUGCACGCUUUACUAUCUUAUCCACGAACAGAGCUCUCGGAUAAUAUAUCAGUUAAACAUUUUCGCAGUUUUUGAUCCACAAAUGCAUUCCUGGUUUGAUAUGGUAUGCAUGAAAAGUACACAUCCACCAAAUCAGAGAGACGAAAAGGCUAAUUAAUACCGAAUUAGCCAAAAAACAACCGUCAUUUUCAGAGCUAUAUUUUUGGACCAAACUGGCUGAAACCUUAAAGAAAUCAAGUUCUGCCUAAAUCAAACAAGCUAGCAAUAGCCUCAAUGGUCUCCAACAUUAUCAAUUGCUUCCCAAUUUCUGGCAACAAUCAACUUCCUGUAAUCCUUUUACCAUACACCACUAGUAUACCAUU
rnacentral:lncRNA from 1 species